CCCUUAGACGUUCUGGGCCGCACGCGCGCUACACUGACGGAGCCAGCGAGUAUAAACCUUGGCCGAGAGGUCUGGGAAAUCUUGUGAAACUCCGUCGUGCUGGGGAUAGAGCAUUGUAAUUAUUGCUCUUCAACGAGGAAUUCCUAGUAAGCGCAAGUCAUCAGCUUGCGUUGAUUACGUCCCUGCCCUUUGUACACACCGCCCGUCGCUACUACCGAUUGAAUGGCGUAGUGAGGCUUCCGGAUUGGUUUAGAGAAGGGGGCAACUCCAUCUUGGAACCGAGAAGCUAGUCAAACUUGGUCAUUUAGAGGAAGUAAAAGUCGUAACA
rnacentral:rRNA from 1 species